rnacentral:ncRNA from 2 species
GGGGCCGAGAGGCGCUGCGACGGAAUCCUUUCCGCCACGCUCGGCCCGCCGAUCACGACUCCAAGGGCGCCUCCCGCGA